UACGGGGGGGGCAAGCGUUGUUCGGAAUUACUGGGCGUAAAGGGCUCGUAGGCGGCCAACUAAGUCGGACGUGAAAUCCCCAGGCUCAACCUGGGAACUGCGUCUGGUACUGGAUGGCUUGAAUCCGGGAGAGGGAUGCAGAAUUCCAGGUGUAGCGGUGAAAUGCGUAGAUAUCUGGAGGAAUACCGGUGGCGAAGGCGGCAUCCUGGACCGGCAUUGACGCUGAGGAGCGAAAGCCAGGGGAGCAAACGGG
rnacentral:rRNA from 1 species